AUCGUCUGGACGUGGCAACGCGGAAAAGAACCCAACCAAGAUAGAGAAAUGAUCUCCCAAAUUUUUACGCAGCGAUCCUGAGCGGCGUUCCGCCAGCCGCUGCCCCAAAGCUGAACAUCUAAGUCGGUGGAAGUGGUGGGUGGGGGUGGGAGGCAAAACUGCACCUCCUUCCUAACCCCGUUAUAUUAGCCCUCUGGGGCCAGGAGGAAAAUCCACGCAGCUUCCAAGCCAAGAGAAGAGCGCUGGUCCUUACUGUGGGAAAGCGCUUUGGAGCGCAGACUGAAACGGGGGUGCGCGGGGCGAGGGGGGAAGACAGGCUCCAGACAGAGACUCGGGCACGUAGGAGGCUUGAAACUGACGCGGACGCCGCUUGUGUCGGAAUCCGGGUAGUUGCACCCCUCCGGCGCUUUUCUCGCACAUACACACGCGCACGCAGGCGGGGGAGCGGAGGGGAAGGCUGGUCGGCUGCGGACCGAGCAGGGUUGGGAAAGACUGUAUUUUUUCCACUUGAAGACUGUUCUUGGGAAAGUUUCUUCUCCAUCCGAAGGUAACCUGGACAUUGGGAGCAAAAUUGGAGGAUAUACACAGAAAAGUCCUAUGCUACCUGAAGGCAGUAUUUCAACAGCUGAGGAACACUUCCCUUUUCGGAAGGUAGGAAGACCGAGCACAGCUGGUACGUGGAUGGCAGGCUGCUAUGGAAAAACAGGACAUGCUAAUUUGAGUAAGAGUAGAGAAAGUAAAUUGUACAAUGAAAUAGACAUCUCACUCCCAGGUUCAUUUGGUUGAGUGAUGGGAACAUUGGUGUGUUAAAGGAGGGCUGUUGCUUUCCUACAGGUACAGCAAAAGAGUAAGAAUCAGGAGUGAGUAGAAUGGAGUGUAGCUAAAUGUCUAUGGAGAUUCUCAGCCAUCCAGCUCAUGGUUGUCCCUAAGGAGGUUUUUUCAAGAGGCAACUGGACUUUCAAGAGUCCUGUUGCCUCUUGAAAAAGCAUCUUGGGGACAGUAGAAUGGAGUUUAUCACUCUGCCAUCAAAAGGGUUCAACACCAAAGUAUGUCUUCCAUAUAGAGCUACGCUACCAUAAUACAUUUCUGACAUUCUCCCUUGAGGCUCUCUUAGCAGCAGUAGGGAAUAUCACCCCUUUGUUCUUGAAAGAUGAUACCAGCGGAGGUGGUUUGGCUCAGAGGACCUCAUUCAUAACCCCACUCAGACUCCUUAGACACAAUCUGUUCAAUGACACUAUGAAAAGCCCAGUUAGUACAAAAUCCUUUAGAUAGGGAGGCACAAUUGGCAGCUCCUGGGCUACAUUAGCCCUUCAAGACUUGAAUGCACUCAGAAAGUGCCUCCUAAAUAAC
rnacentral:lncRNA from 1 species